rnacentral:rRNA from 1 species
AUGGCUCGAUAUUGGUGGAGCAGCUCAGUGGAUCUGAGGUCCUUACACUGGAUCGACUGGGACUCUCUGACCAGACCAAAGAUUGCGGGCGGGAUGGGAUUCAGGAAGUUGGAUUUGUUCAAUCUAGCUCUCCUUGGAAAGCACGGCUGGAUGCUUAUAACGAAUCCAGAUUCUCUGUGCGCGCGCGUUUUGAAAGGAAAAUACUUCCCCACAAGGGAGUUUGUGGAUGCGACAAUUCCUAAACAUGCGUCAGCCACCUGGAGGGCAAUAGUUGCAGGGAGGCAGGCCCUGGAAACUGGCUUGGUAAAAAGAAUUGGCGAUGGCUCGUCUGUGUCCACUUGGCAUGAUAGCUGGAUACCA